CAUUAAGAUAAAUCAUCGUAAGAAAUCGUGAGUGACAAGACCUCACUUCUGGAGAUUAAACUAAAAACUAAAUUAUGUGUUACGCAAUGGACAACAGUGUUCUGAUUUACAAAUAAGAAAAUUUACAAUCAGUGACAAUAGAAUCAACAAUAAGAGAGAUAAGGCUGUUCGGAGUGGGGAGCUUGUACCAGCAGCAAAGAAUCAGACUCUUAAAAUUACAUUGCGAAAGCCAUUACAAUUACGUGUGCCACACCAUACACCUGAUUAUCAAAUAAUCAAAGCUCCUCCAAUAAAAUCGAAGCAUCUCCAAAGGAAACUCAGCGACUGCAAGCAUUUAAGAUGGACAAAAUUUCCUGCUUGCCACUGUAAUAUUCUUGAGUGGCCUUAUAAGUGACAACAUUAGGCUUGAUUCCCUACUUAGUUAUCUCAUCAAAUAAAGUCACAGCAGAUUUCACUUAACAAUUCUUGCACUGGGCAUCCAUAAGUGCAGGAUAAGGAACAACAUCAGCAUUCAAUCAAGGUUGAAUAAGUUAAUAAAUUAGGUAAUAUGCAUGCCCCUUUCAUCAAUCAAGCUAAGAACUUCUUGGAGAGAGAGCUUCAGCGAUUUUCGGAUCAGGUGGACCAAGAAGCUCAAUUUAGCAAGCCUUAAUCAGCUGUCCUCUCCAAUCACAAAGAACCCAACCUGCUCAAUUUUGUUAUGAUGCAGACGGGAGGAAGCAUCUGUAUUGCAUUUCAAGAAUCCCGAAGCAGGCUUGUGCCAUUUCAACAAAUCAGCCACAGAAACUGUCGAAGAGUAGUCAAAAUGGGAUGGAUGGUCACUAACUUUGGCAGCUAACCACUGAUGCAAGAAGCUAAGAAGGACGCAGAGCUUGUAAUCUGAUUAGCAUUCCAAAGCACUUCAAUCCUGUUUUUCCAAAGAGACCAAAUUAGAGUGCAUCUUCUGUGAGGAAACUCAAUUAUAGUCACACGAAUAGGCUCACAACCUGAGUUAACACAAAGUCACUACCACUGCAUCUGUUGUGAGGAAACCCCAUAUCUCAUUUGGUGGAUCAGACCAGAAUUGAACGUCAUGAGCUACAGAAUGCAAUUUCACAUAAGAGCCUUAAUUUCAAUGCCACAAGUUUCAAUGUGCUAAAGAAUCAGCAGUAAAAUUCUUCUCCUGAAAACAUAAACUAAGUACACUCCAUCAAGAAAGGAAAUCAUGUUAGAGAUGAAACUUUAGCUAAAAAAAGUUGAAUAUACAUACACAUAUUUCAUGAUCCAUGCAAGAAAUUGAAUAUGAAUGUGAAUAAAAAGGAUUUUAGAAUGGUGGAAGCUAGAGUUUAUCAUAAAUUGCAGAGCGUUUUCAUAAAUUACAGUCUUCUAUGCUAAUGAUGUCAAUAAAUUAGAAGAUCAAAAUUUAUUAAAGGCAAAAUUAUUUCUUUAUGUCACUUUGCUAAGAGGUGAAGAAACUAAUUUAGUUACAGGUGUGUGGGAUACACUAGAUACCAAAGCUCCUAUAAAUACAUAAAUCUCCAGAUAUGAAUAUGCAAAUUAAUAUUUCAUAAUAAUUUUUGUUCAAAAUUCAUUCAAACAAUUGUAUCCAUACCCAUAAGUGCACUUAAUGGCAUUAAAACUUUUCCCUCGAUUUGUUAAUGACGCAAUAGGUCAAUAAUCGAUUUGUCACGAAAUUUUCUUUAGUCAUUGAAUUGAAAAAGCACGAAAAACAGGUUACUAAAUUGUACUUUCCCCAAAAAUUUAACAAUUUAUACAUCUUAAUUAAAUUUCUUUUUAGAGCUAAAUUGGAUUUGAAAUGGAAUAAUUGUCUCUAUAUUCAUUAAAAUAUCUUUUUUUUUCUUGUUAAAUAUGAUACUGCAUAUGGAUGAUCGGAAUUCUCAGACUAAAAAUAUCUUAAUUAAGGUACACUAGUAUUAUGGGAUGAUUAGGAAAAAAAAUUAUUUAUCAUAAACAAUAAUAUAAUUAAAUUAAUCUGGACAUUAUUUGUCAUGAACUCCAUACCAUCCAAAUCCAUUUAAAAAAAAAUCUUUAUUCUCCUAUACCAUUCCAUGAACUCCAUACCAUCCAUAUCCAUGUGAAGAUUAUUUGUCAAUAAGUUUUAAUG
rnacentral:misc_RNA from 1 species